AUAUUUUAGGAAAAAACUAAAAUUAAUUUUUUUAUAAUGUAAAGAAUAACAAUUUCAAUAUAGACUGUCUAAUUCCUGUGUAUUGUAUCAUUAAAAUAAUAAUAACCAUGUACCCUGAGUUCUUUAUUGUUGUAAUCGCGUUUAGAUCUGAUAAAAACUCAUUGAACUUCAUAAGAAUGCAAAAAAAACCCAACCUCUCGCAGAAACAAUGGUGGAUCGCAUUGUGCAGUGUUAAGGACAACACGACACCUAACAAUAGAGUGUGUUUUUUUUUUAAUCGCUUGCACAUAAUGGUGACUUGAUUAUAAAAUUGUAUUGUACAGAUAAUUGGUGUAUUUAUUUAUUUACAUAUCGACACUACUAGGCCCAUGGUCUUAUCUUUUGAAUUGAUUGGAUAAACAUUAAGUUGAUUGAUAUAAUCCAGAACUUAAAACCUGCCACUUUGCUUCUAUCGUUUAUAACUAGCCGAAUGUGACGAAAAUAAAUACUGUCACGAAACCCCAAUUUUAAUUAAGAUUACUCGUUGUUAAGGAUUAAUUUUUUUCGACAAUUUAUAAAAAUUUUUAUUGAAAUAUGGUUUUUGGUCGGUAUUGAACAAUUAUCGCCUUAAUUCUCUUAAGACAAGUUCUUUUAUUCUAUUGAAUGCGAUAGUGUAGUAGGUCUAUUGUUGAAACUGAAAUCCCAAUCAAUCAUCUCCCUACUUCCUUUUCUGAGGCCACCCAUUUUCUAAGCAGGUAUUUUUAUUCCGAGAUGACGGAAGUAAAGUUCCAGUACCCAAUGGUGGCUAAUUUUACUUCACUCGCACUAUUUACCUGAUUUUCUGUGACCUGAUCUAGCAGGUAUUUUUUACCUAUCAUCUCGUAAAGACCUAUCUGACCAUUCAUUGAAAGGGAUACGCUGUUUAAAACUUAUUGUUUGCUUGUGCGUAUGCUAAACAGCUCAUUCGAAAAAAAGAAAUUAAUUGAGCGAAUCUUAAUGGCCCAUAAAUUUAAAACGAUCUGUUACCUGCAUUUUUAUUAAGUUUAUCUUACAAAACCACCAAAAAGUAACACUGUUUUUUCAGAAGUACAUUUUUCGAAUGAGAAGUAGGAAGAAAAUCUAUUGAAACUAUUCGCUUUUUCUUUUUUAAUCGUUUUGAUCACUUAACUGUCAUUGAAUACACUUCGUGUAGUUUCGGAGUUGGUAACAAUCAAUCGUUCGUCAGAACAACUUCUCAACCAGUUGUUGCUAAAGUAGACUAAACCAGUUAGCGAGAGCACUAAAGAGGAGGCACGCCAAAACUGUUGAAGAUUUCAAUUUUCUCUUGUACUCCACCCAACAUAAGUUCGGUCAUAUUGCUUAGAUGCCCAAAGUUAAGUCAGGAAGAAUAUGACGAAGGGGCACGAACCGAGAUCCGGGUACUUUCUGUAUAUAAUUUUUCAUACUUCCGCUAUCGCUCUAAAUUUUCUAUUAGAUAAUGUCACUGACCUAUCGGCGCAACUUGCAGGCCUACAUUAGUAUUAGUAUAAAGUACAAAGGCGGGAAUUUUAUACGUGAAACGAAUAGACUAACGGCAAUAAAACGUAUUAAAGAAAAACACGUUCUUUUUCUCUUUUAUUGAUGUAGAACUUUUUUACUUUCGCUGGUCUUAUUAUUAUUUUUUAUUAAAAUUUAUUUUCCGUUACCGUUGACGUUAAAAGAUGCGUUUAUACGUUAAUCGUUCCGUAGAGAAACGUAUAGAAACAUAUUUAAGGAACUGUCCACACGUGCAUGCGACCCAAUCAAGCCCGCAGGAUACUCUUGCCCGAAUCAACCUCAGGAACAGGCUUUGAAAAAAAACAAGCCACCAACCAACUGGGUUCUCAACUACGAAAGAGUGUCAGUUUUUCCAUCUGCGCUUUCGCACUUCCUUCUGUCAAUACGUUGACGACAGUUCCAACGUUGCUAGCAAAUGUACACAGGGUGAGAUGGGGGAGGCAGUAAAAGUGAUCUGUUUGCAACUCAAGGACGCUCGAGAUCGGAGUACAUAUCUACACGACUUUCAUUUCGUUUCAGGUAAGACGAAUUUAAUCCUCUUAUGUAGCGAAGGGUAGUUUAAACAUGUGUAAACGUCAUUUGAUUGUCCGACGCCGAAUGGCCCGGUCUUUCACACGCAGAAUUUAUAUCGAGAUUUAAUAUAAAAAAAGCAUAAAAAUACCGUAUUAUAGUCGUUAGCUAUACUUCUACAGUGCUAAAUUUAAUUCCGUAAUUUUAUGUUUCCAUUUAUUAUCACGCAUUCUUCAAUCGAACAGAAAAAUAAAGUUUUUGUCUCUUGUUUACUCUUCGC
rnacentral:lncRNA from 1 species